UACGGGGGGGGCAAGCGUUGUUCGGAAUUACUGGGCGUAAAGGGCUCGUAGGCGGCCAACUAAGUCGGACGUGAAAUCCCUCAGCUUAACUGGGGAACUGCGUCUGAUACUGGAUGGCUUGGAUUCGGGAGAGGGAUGCGGAAUUCCAGGUGUAGCGGUGAAAUGCGUAGAUAUCUGGAGGAAUACCGGUGGCGAAGGCGGCAUCCUGGACCGGCAUUGACGCUGAGGAGCGAAAGCCAGGGGAGCAAACGGG
rnacentral:rRNA from 1 species